UCAUAUAGAAAUUUAGAAUCACAAAUCAUUUACAAGGGGCACAGAGCCUUGGUGGCACACAACAUAUUAAAUUCCACUUAAUCCCACAAGAUAUUAGUCAGUUAUAAUAAUUUGGAUAUCAAGAUUUUGCUUUCAGCUACAAAUUGGCCUUUGAAAAAGCCUCUACAACUUAAAAUUACAUCUCACCAGCUAGCAAGUAUUUAAUUCAAAUGAAUUAUUGGCUUUCCCCUUGUUGUUCUGCAAUAGAUUGUAGU
rnacentral:lncRNA from 1 species